UAUUGGAGGUCCAGCCUGCCCAGUGACUUAUGUUAAACGGCCGCGGUAUACUAACCGUGCAAAGGUAGCGCAAUCACUUGUUCUCUAAAUAAGGACUUGUAUGAAUGGCAUCACGAGGAUUUAACUGUCUCCUUUUUCCAAUCAGUGAAACUAAUCUCCCUGUGAAAAAGCAGGGAUACUUAUACAAGACGAGAAGACCCUAUGAAGCUUUAAACAUAUAACAUAUGCCCACCACCUACUCUUCCUGAAGCCCAACUAAUAGCAAAUUGAUUAUAAGUUUUUGGUUGGGGUGACCGCGGAGAAAAAUAAAACCCCCGCACUGAUGAACCUAAAUUCAAAACUAAAAGUUACAACUUUACGACUCAAUAAACUGACACAAUUGACCCAAAUAUUUGAUCAAUGAACCAAGUUACUCUAGGGAUAACAGCGCAAUCCACUUCAAGAGCACAUAUCGACAAGUGGGCUUACGACCUCGAUGUUGGAUCAGGAUAUCCUAGUGGUGCAGCCGCUACUAAGGGUUCGUUUGUUCAACGAUUAAAAGCCUACGUGAUC
rnacentral:rRNA from 1 species